rnacentral:rRNA from 1 species
UACGUAGGGUGCAAGCGUUAAUCGGAAUUACUGGGCGUAAAGCGUGCGCAGGCGGUUAUAUAAGACAGUUGUGAAAUCCCCGGGCUCAACCUGGGAACUGCAUCUGUGACUGCAUCGCUGGAGUACGGUAGAGGGGGGUGGAAUUCCGCGUGUAGCAGUGAAAUGCGUAGAUAUGCGGAGGAACACCGAUGGCGAAGGCAAUCCCCUGGACCUGUACUGACGCUCAUGCACGAAAGCGUGGGGAGCAAACAGG